ACCACUCCUAAUAAACAUACACACACAGGGAAGGCAAAGGAUUUAUAAAUAGGAAAAAGAGAUAAAUUAAUGGUUGACUCUCUCUUCCAUCUUCCUUCUCAUCGGUCUUUGCUACUUCCAUACAUUUAUAUUUUAAGGUAUGUUAUUAUUCUACAAUUUUCUCUCGAAAUAAUGCUGUUUAUUUAUUUAUUUAUGAUAAUAAUUGAUCUCCAAUCAGUCUCAGUUUAGUACAGAAGUUUGCGUGUACUGAGUGAUAACAAUUUUGGAUUAUACUCCAUAUAUAUUUGGAUUCAUGAUUUUCAAAUUUCAACCCACAUUCGGAUAAUAAUAAAAAAAAUCCCUCGUAUUUUAGCAAAUUUGGCCCUUGUUAAGAGGGAAUAACUCUACCAGUAAUUUUCACUGAAUCUUCAUCCAUAAAUCUCAUUUUCUCCCUCUAAUUUUCGUUAAUCUCUGAAUUCAUAUUCUUAUUUUUGACAUUCUUGAUAAUCCACAUACAUGUGUUAAGAUUUUCACCUAAAAUGAAUAUCCGAAUGACAAAAAAUAUGUGAUAAUCUUAAAUACUUCCUCCGUCCCUUAAUAUAAAACAUUUUAGAGACGUUUUAGAGGAGUAUACGAUGUUUUAGAAUUCUAAGUAAGCAUUAAUUGCUUAGAUUUAAAUAUUACCCUAAGUAUUAAAUGUAAUUUUGGUUCUUUCACUAUUUUUUGUCCAAUAAAUAAUAAUAUCUUUUUCCAGGCAAUAUAGACAUUUGCUAUUAUAUUUAAUGUUAUACAAUCAUUUCGUUAAUACUUGUGCACAAUUCUAAAAAGUCGUAAUGGAUGGAGGGAGUAUUACAUACAUGUUGGUCGUCUUGAUAUAUUUCUAUAUAUAUACAAACAAAUCUCUCGUAUUUUAGUACUACCUUUAUUCUUAAAUAAGUGACGUUUUGAAAAGUUUUACACUUGUUAAUGAAGUUAUUUAUUGCUCCAAUUCUGUCAUUAAGAUUGUGUAUUAUCACAAUUAUCCUUGCAUUAAUUAAGAAAAAAUGUAUUAUAUAGUUGCCUAGAUAAAUGAGAUAGAAAGAUACUUGAGGGCAAUAGAGGAAAAUUAUAAUUAAUGCUUCCUAAAAAUUUGGUAACGUCAAAUAUAUUGGAAAAUUUUAAACUCCUUAAAACGUCACUUAUUUAGGAAUGGAGGGAGUAAUUUAGACAUAAAUAUGUUUUUCUCAUGUUAAAUAAAUAAAUAAAUAUAAAUAUCCUUAUUUAUCACAUAAAUACACAAUAUUUACCAAAUAAAUACCCAUAUAUAUCAAAUGUACGCUUCUUUAUUUUAGUAAUUUAGACAUCAAUAUUAUUAUUAUUAUUAUUAAUAUUUGUUCUUAUUCAUCUUAUGUAAGAGGGGCCCACACACCAUUCUCAUAACCGAAGAGAGAAAUGCUCCAAAAAAUAUGAUAUCUAAAGAGAGAAAUCCUCCAAGAAUAAAUGAUAUCUAAAGAGAGAAAUCCUCAAUCAAGCAAUAAAGUCCCUUUCAUCUUCCUUUAAUUAUCAGUCUUAGCAAUUAACUUCCAUUUAAGGCAUGUUAUUAUUCUACGAUUUUUCUCUAAAUAAUUCUGUGUUUUUUGUUAAUUUUGUUAAUCUUAUUUAUUUAAUAUAAUAAUUGAUCUCCAAUUAGUCUGAUCAGUUUAGUAUACAAGUUUGAGUGUGCUGAUUGAUAACAAUAAUUUUGAUUAUAUUAUUUGGAUUCAUGAUUUUAGGGAGUGGUUAACAUGAAGUUAUCUUUGGUCAAUUGAUCAAUACAAUAUCGAC
rnacentral:lncRNA from 1 species